GGGCAGCUCCCAAAGGGGAAGCAGCUUGCUGUUACUGUUUCCUUGCAGUGUGGCACGGGAUGCACGCUUUCUGGAGCCAGACAGAUUUGGGUUUGCACUUGGCAAGCAGUAGCUGCAGAUAUCCACAUGCGAAGUCCUCAACAUACUUCCCAGUGAAAAGCCUUCUCAUGAUAAAGCAGAUCAACACAGUGGCUGUUAGCAGCAGAAAGAUUGGACAGCAGCCCAAGAAGCAAUGGCACUUACUCAAAGGAGCCAGGAGACCUGGGUGACAGUGAGAAGAACACAAGCCCCUCUGAAAUGUCUCAGAAACUUUCAGACCUCAGCAGAGGACAAUAGUGAUGAAGAUGGUGAAUCUUGGAAAGGACUUAGGGGGCAAAGAAUGAGCCAGGCACGGGUUUGUGCCCAACACCAUGUGUCCUGGCUGGAGCAUCCAGGCCAAAGCUUGAUUUGCAUUCAGGCUGCAUCCCUGAUUGGUGAACCUGGACUUGGCUUGUCGUCCUAAUGAG